UACGGAGGGUGCAAGCGUUAUCCGGAAUCACUGGGUUUAAAGGGUGCGUAGGCGGCCUUAUAAGUCAGAGGUGAAAGAUUAGAGCUUAACUGUGGAAUUGCUUUUGAUACUGCAGAGCUUGAAUCAGGAUGAGGUCAGCGGAAUGUGGCAUGUAGCGGUGAAAUGCAUAGAUAUGCCAGAGAACACCGAUUGCGAAGGCAGCUGGCUAGACCUAAAUUGACGCUGAGGCACGAAAGCGUGGGGAGCGAACAGG
rnacentral:rRNA from 1 species